rnacentral:rRNA from 1 species
UAAUACGAAGGGGGCUAGCGUUGUUCGGAAUUACUGGGCGUAAAGGGCGCGCAGGCGGCCAUUCAAGUCAGGCGUGAAAGCCCCGGGCUCAACCUGGGAAUUGCGCUUGAGACUGGAUGGCUUGAGUUCGGGAGAGGAGAGUGGAAUUCCCAGUGUAGAGGUGAAAUUCGUAGAUAUUGGGAAGAACACCGGUGGCGAAGGCGGCUCUCUGGACCGAUACUGACGCUGAGGCGCGAAAGCGUGGGGAGCAAACAGGAUUAGAUACCCUGGUAGUCCACGCCGUAAACGAUGUGUGCUAGACGUUGGACGGCCUAGCCGUUCGGUGUCGCAGCUAACGCGUUAAGCACACCGCCUGGGGAGUACGGCCGCAAGGUUA